AGCGAACGCUGGCGGCAGGCCUAACACAUGCAAGUCGAGCGCCCGUAGCAAUACGGGAGCGGCAGACGGGAUAGUAACACGUGGGAACGUACCCUUCAGUUCGGAACAACCCAGGGAAACUUGGGCUAAUACCGAAUACGUCCGUAAGGAGAAAGAUUUAUCGCUGAAGGAUCGGCCCGCGUCUGAUUAGCUAGUUGGUGAGGUAAUGGCUCACCAAGGCGACGAUCAGUAGCNGGUCUGAGAGGAUGAUCAGCAUCACUGGGACUGAGACACGGCCCAGACUCCUACGGGAGGCAGCAGUGGGGAAUAUUGGACAAUGGGCGCAAGCCUGAUCCAGCCAUGCCGCGUGGAUGAUGAAGGCCCUAGGGUUGUAAAGUCCUUUCGGCGGGGAAGGAUAAUGACGGUACCCGCAGAAGAAGCCCCGGCCUAACUUCGUGCCAGCCGCCGCCGUAA
rnacentral:rRNA from 1 species